rnacentral:misc_RNA from 1 species
GGAAGCUUCACCGUCCCAAAAACACCGAUAACAGCCGGCACGCCUCUCUCCAGCGCAAACUGCACCUGCGCCUCAUGAGAGUCCCGCGGCGCAAACGACAUCGCCAACACAUUCCUCUUCAACAAGUAAGCCCCCCAGCUGGCAACACCGCAGCCAGUGUCCAACGCGGUCCGCACGGUCCCGUUUGCAAUCGGAAUAACAUCCGCCAGCUGCUCGAUGUACUUAUCAGCCCCCUGCGGGAACUGCGUCCCGCCGCCGGGGAACCGAAACACAUUCCCCUCAUACUGC